rnacentral:ncRNA from 1 species
GACCAGUGCUCUGAAUGUCAAAGUGAAGAAAUUCAAUCAAGCGCGGGUAAACGGCGGGAGUAACUAUGACUCUCUUAACCUGAUUUCGUCUGUGCGGCGGCGUUUUCUUUUCGCUCUCCGCUCGUCGAAAUUUGCUGUAGUUGAUUCGCUUUUUCUUUGCGUUUUCUUCUACCUUCGCAGUUUUUCUGCAUUGCCACGAUGUCAAACCGCCUCGCCAAUACUGCUGCGGCUGGUGGGGUUCCAGAGAAAAACUCGGGAACUUUAGACAUUCCUGGCCAACCCUCUUCAUCCGGUGAAAAGCGUG